UACAGAGGUCUCGAGCGUUGUUCGGAUUCAUUGGGCGUAAAGGGUGCGUAGGCGGUUUGGUAAGUCUUGUGUGAAAUCUACAGGCUCAACUUGUAGUCUGCACGAGAAACUGCCGGGCUUGAGUGUGGGAGAGGUGAGUGGAAUUCCUGGUGUAGCGGUGAAAUGCGUAGAUAUCAGGAGGAACACCUGUGGCGAAAGCGGCUCACUGGACCAUAACUGACGCUGAUGCACGAAAGCUAGGGGAGCAAACAGG
rnacentral:rRNA from 1 species